CCGGUCCCGCGUGUGCCCCGCUGAGGGGAGGGGCGGGCCGGGGGUGGGGGCGGAGGGGUUGUGGUUCCACUGCAGCGGGGGCUCCUGUGUCCUUGUGCGGAAAUGACACACGGAGUCCCGUCACGUCACGCGAGAGCGCAGCGCACGGACACACACAAAGAGAGGGGAAAAUACACGGCGCCCGCCCGCCGCCCCCAGCAACUCCCCGGGCCGCCCCGGCCUGGCCCUCCGCGCGCGGCCCCCACUCCCCAGCCCCGCGCUCCCCCCACCCCCCACGUGGCUCCCCAACUCGGCGCGGGCCGGCUCAGCAAAGUACAGAACUCGUGUCCCAGAAUUGCAUGCUCCCUCUAGCAUAUGUGGAAAGUAGAGGAAACUAUAAAGAAAAAAGUCAUCCAUAAUCCUCCUAACUGGAGGUAAUUAACAUUUUGACGUAUUUUCUUCAUCUGCUUUAUGGCAUUUUUAUAUUACAUUGUUGAGAUAUCUCAGUGACGUCUGAAGUAUGUUAUUAUUGACUGGGUGGCCCUGUAAUGAACAAUUGAUUUUGAAUCUUUACGCAUAAUUUAAUGCUCGGCUUUUUCUGUCAAUAGAGGUUUUGAAGUCCUGUGUUGAGGAAAAUGUGUGGAAGUUGACUUCCCGACUUUCUGUCAUGGAAAUAACCAUUGUGAUCAAAGGUGAUCUCCAUCCAGGUCACAUUGAGUUUGUUGUCCCUUCCAUUUUCUCUGCAGCUUUUUGUGGACGUAUCAGUAAUUAAUAACAGCUGAUGGGUGCAGAGGGCCUACUGCAGGAUUUCCACCCUCAGCCUGACCCUUGAGUUCCUGCCUGUGCUUAACCUGAGAUCAACUCGAAGUAAAAAGACCCCAUGGCCCAGGUUCUUUGCUCUUCUGGUCUUGGCUCAUUUCGUGUUGUAAUUUUAAAGUGCUUGGGGCUCUGUAAAUGACGGAAAGAUUUGGUUAUAGGUCUUUAGAAGCUGAAAGUGAUGAGGAAGAUCACGCUAUGCCCUUUUAAAACAUCGACAGGGUUAUUUCCGAAGCAAAAUCUUUCUUGGAGUUUCCGUUGUGGCGCAUCAGAAAUGAAUCCGAGUAGGAACCGUAAGUUGCGGGUUUGGUCCCUGCACUUGCUCAGUGGGUUAAGGAUCCGGCGUUGCCAUGAGCUGUGGUGUAGGUUGCAGACGUGGCUCGGAUCUGGUGUUGCUGUGGCUGUGGUGUAGGCUGGCAGCUACAGCUCCGAUUCGACAUCUAGCCUGGGGACCUCCAUAUGCCGCAGGUUUGGCCCUAAAAAGACAAAAGAUGACCAAAAAUAUGUAUAUAAUAAUUUCCCUUUGGAAUUUGCUUUAAUGUUAUUUCUUCUAAAGGAAAAUAAAUCUUGU
rnacentral:lncRNA from 1 species